rnacentral:rRNA from 1 species
GACGAACGCUGGCGGCGUGCCUAACACAUGCAAGUCAAAGGAAAGCGGCUUCGGCCGGGAGUACUUGGCGCAAGGGUGAGUAAUGUAUAGGUAAUUUGCCCUUUGGACUGGGAUAACCCCGAGAAAUCGGGGACAAUACCAGAUGAUGCAGCGGAACCGCAUGGUUAUGUUGUUAAAGAUUUAUCGCCAAAGGAUGAACCUAUAUCCCAUCAGGUAGUUGGUAAGGUAACGGCUUACCAAGCCUACGACGGGUAGCUGGUUUGAGAGGAUGAUCAGCCACAUUGGAACUGAGACMCGGUCCAGACUCCUACGGGAGGCAGCAGUGAGGAAUAUUGCGCAAUGGGCGAAAGCCUGACGCAGCAACGCCGCGUGGAUGAUGAAGUUUUUCGGAAUGUAAAGUCCUUUUGUAGAGGAAGAAUAUCUUGGUUUACCAGGACUGACGGUACUUUACGAAUAAGCCCC